CUUAGUGGCCCUGAGGCCACCCGGAACCCCUCCACCUGCAACACUUGGGCUUUUUGCAGGUCCAGAAGUAGGUGUCACAACCAAGAGUGACAUCGACACUGGCUCUGCCAAAACUGCCAAGAAGCACAAAGUAAAUGCUCUGGCCAUUUUCAGUUCUAAGUCUUUAUGGACAGCCACAUCUUUUUGUACAGGACACUCUCCUGCCAUUAUCUCUGGUUUGUGUGUCUUAUGGUAUGUCUGCUGUUUUUGUUUUUUUUUUUUUUUUUUUUCUUCUCAAAUGCAAAACCUUUACCGCCGAGUCUACGGGCUUCCCUGUUUCCCAGCUGGCAUCUGUUUGUGGUAACUUGAGCAGCUAAGCGUGCCUAGAGGUGGGGACCAUAGGGCUUUUCUAAUGUGUUCCUGGAAUAAAUCAAGGAGGAUGACACCACACUCCA